rnacentral:rRNA from 1 species
UACGAAGGGGGCUAGCGUUGCUCGGAAUCACUGGGCGUAAAGCGCACGUAGGCGGGCUCUUAAGUCGGUGGUGAAAUCCUGGAGCUCAACUCCAGAACUGCCUUCGAUACUGAGAGUCUCGAGUCCGGGAGAGGUGAGUGGAACUGCGAGUGUAGAGGUGAAAUUCGUAGAUAUUCGCAAGAACACCAGUGGCGAAGGCGGCUCACUGGCCCGGUACUGACGCUGAUGGACGAAAGCGUGGGUAGCGAACAGG